GUUCUCAAGAAUUUUCUACAUGGCGAUGUCCUGCACUCUUUGGAUUAUCUGAAAGUCAGAAAACAACCUCAUCUUCCAAGCUUAUUGAGCGCUGACAAGAAAUGGAGUAACAUAAUCACAGGACGUCUAAAGAGGGAUGGAAACUUCAACUAGCCUUUGAAGAUAUUAAAUCUCUCCUCCAAGACAUUAACAUAGUUCUGCAACCAGCAAACAAUCGCUAUCUAAAGAGCAAGGCUUUUCAUUGAGUGAAGACCGUUUCUAAAUAUUUCAUUAGCUUUACUUGGCCUUAAUUGUUAUUUUUCUUGUACCAAAAAUAAACCAUGAUUUAAAUAUAGUUUUUUAAUCUUGUUUUAAAA